ensembl:lncRNA
UGUUCCUAGACCUUGUUUCUCGAGUCAAUCCCACUGUGACAUGCUGUUUCCUACUGCACUCCUUUGUGGAGAUGAAGCCCAUACAGAGAGGACAACAUGCUUCACUCCCAGGUGCCACACCAGAGAUGAAAGAAGUUGGAUUAUAUCAAAGUUUGUUUCCUAACCUGAAGAAUAAGGGGAAGGAGAAGAGCCCGCCAUUGAAGCAUGACUUCCUGACUUCCCGACGAGAGCUCCUGGAUAUGAUUUAAAGCUCUACGAAAUGUUUGGAAUGAAACC